rnacentral:rRNA from 1 species
AUUGAACGCUGGCGGCAGGCUUAACACAUGCAAGUCGAGCGGGGGAAGGUAGCUUGCUACCGGACCUAGCGGCGGACGGGUGAGUAAUGCUUAGGAAUCUGCCUAUUAGUGGGGGGCAACAUCUCGAAAGGGAUGCUAAUACCGCAUACGUCCUACGGGAGAAAGCAGGGGAUCUUCGGACCUUGCGCUAAUAGAUGAGCCUAAGUCGGAUUAGCUAGUUGGUGGGGUAAAGGCCUACCAAGGCGACGAUCUGUAGCGGGUCUGAGAGGAUGAUCCGCCACACUGGGACUGAGACACGGCCCAGACUCCUACGGGAGGCAGCAGUGGGGAAUAUUGGACAAUGGGGGGAACCCUGAUCCAGCCAUGCCGCGUGUGUGAAGAAGGCCUUAUGGUUGUAAAGCACUUUAAGCGAGGAGGAGGCUACUUUAGUUAAUACCUAGAGAUAGUGGACGUUACUCGCAGAAUAAGCACCGGCUAACUCUGUGCCAGCAGCCGCGGUAAUACAGAGGGUGCGAGCGUUAAUCGGAUUUACUGGGCGUAAAGCGUGCGUAGGCGGCUUAUUAAGUCGGAUGUGAAAUCCCCGAGCUUAACUUGGGAAUUGCAUUCGAUACUGGUGAGCUAGAGUAUGGGAGAGGAUGGUAGAAUUCCAGGUGUAGCGGUGAAAUGCGUAGAGAUCUGGAGGAAUACCGAUGGCGAAAGCAGCCAUCUGGCCUAAUACUGACGCUGAGUACGAAAGCAUGGGGAGCAA